UACAGAGGGUGCGAGCGUUAAUCGGAAUUACUGGGCGUAAAGCGCGCGUAGGCGGUUUUGCAAGUCGGGUGUGAAAUCCCCAGGCUUAACCUGGGAACUGCAUUCGAGACUGCAUUACUAGAGUAUGGGAGAGGGAAGUGGAAUUUCCGGUGUAGCGGUGAAAUGCGUAGAUAUCGGAAGGAACAUCAGUGGCGAAAGCGACUUCCUGGACCAAUACUGACGCUCAUGAUGCGAAAGCGUGGGGAGCAAACAGG
rnacentral:rRNA from 1 species